AACCGUUCGGGGGUAAACGGACAGAGCCCGUGAAUCCGGGCGCGCGGAAUUCAGGACCGAUGGCGGCGGUCGUCGAUUCGAUAUUUCCGCCGCCGACCAGUAACUGGUGCGGACGUCGCGACCCGUUCGCCGUCGGUCUGACGANACGCGUUUCAAGUUCGUUCGCGCCUUCGCCUCGCGGGACGUCGAUGGCGUGUCUUCUACGCGUNNNNNCGGACGGUAANUACGGCGCGGGUAAUCGACGCGACCCGGCCGGACGUAACUUCGGUCGGNNGAGUCGUGCGUCGACGCCGGUCAGCGACGAAUCUUCGGGCCUCUUUCCGACCCGUCUUGAAACACGGACCAAGGAGUCUAACGUGCGCGCGAGUCGCGGGGUAUUCGAGCCGUAACGCAGCUCGUCAUAAUACGAAACCCGUUCACGUACGUUGUGCUAAGGCGUAAUGAAAGUGAGGGGCGCGUCUUCGCGACCCUACCGGGAAGAUGGUGUUCCGAGUACACGUUUUUCUCGGAUUUUAUUCCGAGGCCGGACACCCGCAUUCCCAGGGCGUCCCGUUCGUCCGUCGCGAAUGCGGACGUUUGUCGUUCCGCGACGAACUGGGGCGCACCUUUAGCGUGCACGUUGGUACCCGAAAGAUGGUGAACUAUGCCCGGCCAGGAUGAAGUCAGGGGAAACCCUGAUGGAGGUCCGCAGCGAUUCUGACGUGCAAAUCGAUCGUCUGAGCUGGGUAUAGGGGCGAAAGACUAAUCGAACCAUCUA
rnacentral:rRNA from 1 species